rnacentral:rRNA from 1 species
CUCCCACCCGUGUUUAUUUUACCUUGUUGCUUCGGCGGGCCCGCCUUAACUGGCCGCCGGGGGGCUUACGCCCCCGGGCCCGCGCCCGCCGAAGACACCCUCGAACUCUGUCUGAAGAUUGUAGUCUGAGUGAAAAUAUAAAUUAUUUAAAACUUUCAACAACGGAUCUCUUGGUUCCGGCAUCGAUGAAGAACGCAGCGAAAUGCGAUACGUAAUGUGAAUUGCAAAUUCAGUGAAUCAUCGAGUCUUUGAACGCACAUUGCGCCCCCUGGUAUUCCGGGGGGCAUGCCUGUCCGAGCGUCAUUUCUGCCCUCAAGCACGGCUUGUGUGUUGGGCCCCGUCCUCCGAUCCCGGGGGACGGGCCCGAAAGGCAGCGGCGGCACCGCGUCCGGUCCUCGAGCGUAUGGGGCUUUGUCACCCGCUCUGUAGGCCCGGCCGGCGCUUGCCGAUCAACCCAAAUUUUUAUCCAGGUUGACCUCGGAUCAGGUAGGGAUACCCGCUGAACUUAAGCAUAUCAAUA